rnacentral:lncRNA from 1 species
AUUUUUUUUUCCAAUUUAGUGCAGUGUGGAGUUUUGGGGAGAUACCUGUUUAUAUCACUUUUAGCAUUUUGUCCUUAGCUCCAAGGACAUCACAGGUAAAGGAGCCUGCUUAUCGUCAGCUGGGGAUUGAUCCUCAAUCUAUAGCUGAUCUCUGGGAUCUAAGCUGGGCCAUAAGAGAUCCAGACUCUUAUCUUUUAUCCAAUUUAAGGUAACCUUGGCCUUAGGUUCUACUGCCUCUUUCAGGCCUAAUCAAACAGCAGACCUCAGGUCAUCUCCUUGCUCUUCCAAAGAAAUCUCAAGAUAAAAAGCAAAUAAAGCAGAAAAGAUCCUACACAAAGUAAGGGAAAAUCAAAAUCUUUAACCUCUAUGUUAUUCUUGCCUCAGUGGAGAAAAUAGUAACUCCUACUAUAGUUAGUGUAUGUAGUUAACAGUCUGGAAAAACUUGUUUUAUCCAGGCAUGGUGGUGCAAGUUCAAGGCCAGCCUGGGAAACUUAGUGAGAUCCUGUCUUAGAUUAAAAUUUUUAAAAAGGGUCUGGGGAUGUGCCUCAGUGGUAGAUGUAGGGGUUGCCUUGGGUUCAUUUCCCAAGACAACAAAAUAUAAACAAGUAAUACUCAAAAAUGUCUCUUAAUUUCUCUCCUUUUUAGGGAAUUUUGAACAUAUUCUGAUUUGUAGAGCGUUUGGAAAAAACUAAGUCACAAUUUAUUUUUUUAUCUCGGAAGAAAACUAUCAGAAUUCAAGUUCUCGGGGCAUCAACUGUGUUCACUGAUCUCUGAACUUGUACCACCAAGCACAAAGCCUGGUGUGCCGCGGCUACUCAGUAAGUGACUGUCUGAAGAUGUCUGCUUUUGUCCAAAUAACUUAUCUCCUCAGCGUCAUAAUCAGGCCAGAAGCGUGAAAACCUCCGCACUUCAAGCACAUCGCCAGUCCACAGCUAGCCGCAUUCUCGGCCUUCGCCUUCCUCACGCAAAAGAUCUGCUUUCAACGCCUUUUCUUUUUCCCAUUAUUAAUUCUAUUUUCUCUCCAUUUGUCUAUGCAUAUGCUUAAUGACAUGGUCUUUUCUGUGCUGUAAAAAAUAAGUGAAUAAAUAAACAAAAAUCAAUAUUGAACUGUAGCU